UUUUCGAAAUGGUCAAAUUUA
rnacentral:piRNA from 1 species